CUAGAGGAGCUCCUGCACACUGAGGCAGUAUUUCUGCCGUUUGCCUCUCGCUUGCUGUCAGCUGUCAGCAGUAUCAACAGUCCAAAACCCUCUGGAGCGGGCUGUUAUUAGUCAGCUAGACUUGAAUUUCCAGUUCUUUUACAUUGCUGUCUAUUUUCCUUCAUUAAGCUCGCCUGUCCUACCCUGCUAUCAGGUUACAGGGA